rnacentral:rRNA from 1 species
UACGUAGGGUGCAGGCGUUAAUCGGAAUUACUGGGCGUAAAGCGUGCGCAGGCGGUCUCUUAAGACAGGUGUGAAAUCCCCGGGCUUAACCUGGGAACUGCGCUUGUAACUGAGAGGCUAGAGUGUGGCAGAGGGGGGUGGAAUUCCACGUGUAGCAGUGAAAUGCGUAGAGAUGUGGAGGAACACCGAUGGCGAAGGCAGCCCCCUGGGCGUAACACUGACGCUCAUGCACGAAAGCGUGGGGAGCAAACAGG